UGGGGCCAGAAUGGGGGAGGAGCGCGAGGGCGGGGCCAGGACGGGUCCCGAACGAGGCGGGGGCGCACACCCUGCGGCCGGGGCCUGCAACCCGGGUAGGGUCCCGGGCGCGCGGCCGCGGAGCGGGACUGAGCUCUCCCGGCAAGAUGUCGCUGUCGUCGCGGAGGCCCGCGUUCCUGCGGCAGAGGGCGGCGGAGGCGCGGCCUCAGCCCCGGAGAAGGCACCUCCCCCGCGCGCUCCCGGCCCGGCCCUCCGCCCGCCGCGGGGGGCGACCGCUGCGGCGCGGGGCGCGGGCGAGCCCCCCGGCCGGAGACCCAGGCUCGGGGCCGCCCGGCCGAGGAGCAGCGCGCCCGUGCCCUCGGGGGCGUCGGUGGGGGUCCGGGACCCGCCUCCAGACCGCACGUGCGUUUCCGCUUAUGCGUAUGUGUCACCUGUUAUUCUGGCUUUAACCCCGUUUCACGUUUCAGUACGUCUCCUUUCAUGUCCACACCGAAAACAUCUUAAAAUCUUAAAUAAAACCGCUAACCCACGCGCUCAGAGACCGUUUGCCCAGAAAACCGCGACAGGUUCAGCUGCGUUGUUGGGAAGUAGACGACUUUGGCCCCGGUCGUGGUGACAAGUUUCAAAAAUGGCCCCGCACAGAGCCCUCCCCUUUAUUAAAAAAAGCUUUGAUGCAUUCUUUGCAAAAAGAUUAGAAAGAAAAGAAGUUUGGGGAAAUCAACACUAUCGAGCAGAUACAAAGCAGGCCUAGACCAUGAGUGAGUUAUUACCUGGCUCGAGGCUUCCAUACUGGGGUUUCCCCCGCUUGACCCACGGUUUUGCGCCGGUCUCUGCGCCCUGCCGCCUCCUCCAUCACGACUGGAGGAUCCAGAGGUGGACACUGCUCAGGGGAGCCGGGUCACACCGUCCGAGAACUUAAAGGUCAUUAUUGCUGGACUGGUGAGAAGGCCCGGCAGCCUCCUGGCGGGAGAGUCCGUGAUCUCCCGCCACGGCCCUGACUUCUCCCUUCGCCACUUUCCCUCUCUCUGUUCCUUGAGACACCCCCGGGGACUUUUCUAAUGCACUUCCUUUCUGUUUAAGCUGGCCGGGGCUGAUUUCCAGUGGUUGGAACCAAAAGAACUUAAAUAAAUGUAUUAAUGACG